rnacentral:rRNA from 1 species
GACGAACGCUGGCGGCGUGCUUAACACAUGCAAGUCGAACGGAAAGGCCCUGCUUUUGUGGGGUGCUCGAGUGGCGAACGGGUGAGUAACACGUGAGUAACCUGCCCUUGACUUUGGGAUAACUUCAGGAAACUGGGGCUAAUACCGGAUAGGAGCUCCUGCUGCAUGGUGGGGUUUGGAAAGUUUCGGCGGUUGGGGAUGGACUCGCGGCUUAUCAGCUUGUUGGUGGGGUAGUGGCUUACCAAGGCUUUGACGGGUAGCCGGCCUGAGAGGGUGACCGGCCACAUUGGGAAUGAGAGACGGCGCAGACUCCGACGGGCAGCGGGAGUGGGGAAUAUUGCACAAUGGGCGGAAGCCUGAUGCAGAUACGCCUCGUACGGGAUGACGGGCUUCGAGUUGUAGACCGCUUUCGCCUGUGACGAAGCGUGAGUGACGGUAAAGGGUAAAGAAGCACCGGCUAACUACGUG